rnacentral:rRNA from 1 species
GAUGAACGCUGGCGGCGUGCCUAAUACAUGCAAGUCGAGCGAACGGACGAGAAGCUUGCUUCUCUGAUGUUAGCGGCGGACGGGUGAGUAACACGUGGAUAACCUACCUAUAAGACUGGGAUAACUUCGGGAAACCGGAGCUAAUACCGGAUAAUAUUUUGAACCGCAUGGUUCAAAAGUGAAAGACGGUCUUGCUGUCACUUAUAGAUGGAUCCGCGCUGCAUUAGCUAGUUGGUAAGGUAACGGCUUACCAAGGCAACGAUGCAUAGCCGACCUGAGAGGGUGAUCGGCCACACUGGAACUGAGACACGGUCCAGACUCCUACGGGAGGCAGCAGUAGGGAAUCUUCCGCAAUGGGCGAAAGCCUGACGGAGCAACGCCGCGUGAGUGAUGAAGGUCUUCGGAUCGUAAAACUCUGUUAUUAGGGAAGAACAUAUGUGUAAGUAACUGUGCACAUCUUGACGGUACCUAAUCAGAAAGCCACGGCUAACUACGUGCCAGCAGCCGCGGUAAUACGUAGGUGGCAAGCGUUAUCCGGAAUUAUUGGGCGUAAAGCGCGCGUAGGCGGUUUUUUAAGUCUGAUGUGAAAGCCCACGGCUCAACCGUGGAGGGUCAUUGGAAACUGGAAAACUUGAGUGCAGAAGAGGAAAGUGGAAUUCCAUGUGUAGCGGUGAAAUGCGCAGAGAUAUGGAGGAACACCAGUGGCGAAGGCGACUUUCUGGUCUGUAACUGACGCUGAUGUGCGAAAGCGUGGGGAUCAAACAGGAUUAGAUACCCUUGUAGUCCACGCCGUAAACGAUGAGUGCUAAGUGUUAGGGGGUUUCCGCCCCUUAGUGCUGCAGCUAACGCAUUAAGCACUCCGCCUGGGGAGUACGACCGCAAGGUUGAAACUCAAAGGAAUUGACGGGGACCCGCACAAGCGGUGGAGCAUGUGGUUUAAUUCGAAGCAACGCGAAGAACCUUACCAAAUCUUGACAUCCUUUGACAACUCUAGAGAUAGAGCCUUCCCCUUCGGGGGACAAAGUGACAGGUGGUGCAUGGUUGUCGUCAGCUCGUGUCGUGAGAUGUUGGGUUAAGUCCCGCAACGAGCGCAACCCUUAAGCUUAGUUGCCAUCAUUAAGUUGGGCACUCUAAGUUGACUGCCGGUGACAAACCGGAGGAAGGUGGGGAUGACGUCAAAUCAUCAUGCCCCUUAUGAUUUGGGCUACACACGUGCUACAAUGGACAAUACAAAGGGCAGCGAAGCCGCGAGGUCAAGCAAAUCCCAUAAAGUUGUUCUCAGUUCGGAUUGUAGUCUGCAACUCGACUACAUGAAGCUGGAAUCGCUAGUAAUCGUAGAUCAGCAUGCUACGGUGAAUAAGUUCCCGGGUCU